rnacentral:rRNA from 1 species
GGGAGAGGACAACAUGGGAAACUGCCCUGGGGACGAGGAUAGCGUCGGGAAACUGACGGUAAUACUCGAUAAUGUUUGCGGACCAAAGGUGUGAUUCCGCCCCAGGAUGUGCCCAUGCCCCAUUAGCUAGUUGGCGGUGUAAUGGACCACCAAGGCUAUGAUGGGUAGCUGGUGUGAGAGCACGACCAGCCUCACUGGCACUGAGACACUGGCCAGACACCUACGGGUGGCUGCAGUCGAGAAUCUUCGGCAAUGGACGAAAGUCUGACCGAGCGACGCCGCGUGCGGGAUGAAGGCCUUCGGGUUGUAAACCGCUGUCGAGGGGAAUCAAAUGCAAGGGGGUUCUCCCCCCUGCUUGAGAGAACCCUGGAGGAAGGGGAGGCUAAGCUCGUGCCAGCAGCCGCGGUAAGACGAGCUCCCCAAACGUUAUUCGGUAUCACUGGGCUUAAAGAGUUCGUAGGCGGCGAAGUAGGUGAGGUGUGGAAGCCCUCGGCU